UACGUAGGGUCCGAGCGUUGUCCGGAAUUAUUGGGCGUAAAGAGCUCGUAGGCGGUUUGUCGCGUCGAAUGUGAAAUCCCGGGGCUCAACCCCGGGUCUGCAUUCGAUACGGGCAGACUAGAGUUCGGUAGGGGAGUCUGGAAUUCCUGGUGUAGCGGUGAAAUGCGCAGAUAUCAGGAGGAACACCGGUGGCGAAGGCGGGACUCUGGGCCGAUACUGACGCUGAGGAGCGAAAGCGUGGGGAGCAAACAGG
rnacentral:rRNA from 1 species